rnacentral:rRNA from 1 species
AAACUCAAAGGAAUUGACGGGGACCCGCACAAGCAGCGGAGCAUGUGGUUUAAUUCGAAGCAACGCGAAGAACCUUACCAAGGCUUGACAUCCUCUUGAAAGACGUAGAGAUACGGUUCCCUCUUCGGAGCAAGGGAGACAGGUGGUGCAUGGUUGUCGUCAGCUCGUGUCGUGAGAUGUUGGGUUAAGUCCCGCAACGAGCGCAACCCCUAUUAUUAGUUGCCAGCAUUCAGUUGGGCACUCUAAGGAGACUGCCGGUGUCAAACCGGAGGAAGGUGGGGAUGACGUCAAGUCCUCAUGGCCCUUAUGUCCAGGGCUACACACGUGCUACAAUGGCCGGUACAAAGGGGCGCAAGACCGCGAGGUGGAGCAAAUACCCAAAAAACCGGUCUCAGUUCGGAUUGGAGUCUGCAACUCGACUCCAUGAAGUUGGAAUCGCUAGUAAUCGCGUAUCAGCAUGACGCGGUGAAUACGUCCCCGGGCCUU